AUUGAACGCUGGCGGCAUGCCUUACACAUGCAAGUCGAACGGCAGCACGGGUGCUUGCACCUGGUGGCGAGUGGCGAACGGGUGAGUAAUACAUCAGGACGUACCUUAUCGUGGGGGAUAACGCAGCGAAAGCUGUGCUAAUACCGCAUACGCCCUGAGGGGGAAAGCGGGGGAUCGCAAGACCUCGCGCGAUUAGAGCGGCCGAUGCCUGAUUAGCUAGUUGGUGGGGUAAAAGCCCACCAAGGCGACGAUCAGUAGCUGGUCUGAGAGGACGAUCAGCCACACUGGGACUGAGACACGGCCCAGACUCCUACGGGAGGCAGCAGUGGGGAAUUUUGGACAAUGGGGGCAACCCUGAUCCAGCAAUGCCGCGUGAGUGAAGAAGGCCUUCGGGUUGUAAAGCUCUUUUGUCAGGGAAGAAACACCGGCUCUAACACAGUCCGGGAAUGACGGUACCUGAAGAAUAAGCACCGGCUAACUACGUGCCAGCCGCCGCCGUAA
rnacentral:rRNA from 1 species